UGGAUGAACGGUUUAACAAAAAAUAGUGUCUUUCUAUAAACAGGUAAUUUGUAUUCUGAGUAAAAAUACUUAGAUAAAUUUAAGGGACGAUAAGACCCUUAAAGCUUUAUUUCGUAGGGAGGGUUUAAAAUAGCCCGUGUAUUUUAGCUGGGGUAGUUACCUGGAAAAACUCCAGGUGGCAGGGGCACUGAUGAGUGAGAGGGUCCUUUAUAUAAGGAUAGUUAGAAAUAGUUACUUAAGGGAUAACAGCGUUAUAGUCCCGGGGAGACCUUAUUUAUGGGGCAGCUUGCGACCUCGAUGUUGAAUUAUAAGCUCUCUGCUGAGUAGAAGAAGUAGGAGAAGGUUUGUUCAACCUUUGAAAUUUUACAUGAUUU
rnacentral:rRNA from 1 species